CUAUAAUGCAGUCGGACGGGAUCCAUCGGUAGCUUGCUACCGAUGGUGAGAGUGGCGCACGGGUGCGUAACGCGUGAGCAACCUGCCCAUAUCAGGGGGAUAGCCCGGAGAAAUCCGGAUUAACACCGCAUGACACUGCUUUCCGGCAUCGGGAGGUAGUCAAAUAUUCAUAGGAUAUGGAUGGGCUCGCGUGACAUUAGCUAGUUGGUGGGGUAACGGCCCACCAAGGCGACGAUGUCUAGGGGCUCUGAGAGGAGAAUCCCCCACACUGGUACUGAGACACGGACCAGACUCCUACGGGAGGCAGCAGUAAGGAAUAUUGGUCAAUGGGGGCAACCCUGAACCAGCCAUGCCGCGUGCAGGACGACUGCCCUAUGGGUUGUAAACUGCUUUUGUUAGGGAAUAAACCCCGCUACGUGUAGCGGGCUGAAUGUACCUAAAGAAUAAGGAUCGGCUAACUCCGUGCCAGCAGCCGCGGUAAUACGGAGGAUCCGAGCGUUAUCCGGAUUUAUUGGGUUUAAAGGGUGCGUAGGCGGCACUUUAAGUCAGGGGUGAAAGACGGCAGCUCAACUGUCGCAGUGCCCUUAAUACUGAAGUGCUUGAAUGCAGUUGAAGACGGCGGAAUGAGACAAGUAGCGGUGAAAUGCAUAGAUAUGUCUCAGAACACCGAUUGCGAAGGCAGCUGUCUAAGCCGUUAUUGACGCUGAUGCACGAAAGCGUGGGGAUCGAACAGGAUUAGAUACCCUGGUAGUCCACGCCCUAACGAUGAUGACUCGAUGUUUGCGAUAUACCGAAGCGUCCCGCGAAACGUUAAUCAUCCACCUGGGGAGUACGCCCGCAGGGUGAACUCAAGGAAUUGACGGGGCCCGCACAGCGGAGGACCAUGUGGUUAAUUCGAUGAUACUCGGGAACUUACCCGGCUUGAAAGUUACUGAAGGCGCAAAGAACACCGUCCUUCGGGACGGAAACUAGGGCUACAGGCUGUCGUCGCUCAUGCCUGAAGUGUUGGUUAAUUCCAGAACGAGCGAACCCCAUGUUAGUGCCACCCGUCAGGUGGGACUCUAACAGACGCCUGCCAAGCAAAAGAAGGCGGGACGACUCAAGUCUCAUGGCCUUACUCCGGGGCACCACGGCUAAAUGAAGGUACACGGGGACUACCAACAUGGGUGCCACUCGAA
rnacentral:rRNA from 1 species